GACGAACGCUGGCGGCAUGCCUAACACAUGCAAGUCGAACGAAAAGUCCGGGUCUAGUGUCGCCCGGGUGCGUAACCGGUGGGAACAUUCCCUUGUGUUCGGAAUAACUCCCCGACAGGGGUGCUAUUACCGGAUAAUAUCUUCGGACCAAUGAUUUAUGGCGCUUGGUUGUGCCGGCGUUGGAUUAGCUUGUUAUUAGGGUAAAAGCCUACCACGGCGAGGAUGCAUAGCUGGUCAGAGAGGAUGAUCAGCGACACUGAGACGGAGACACGGCCGAGACUCCUACGGGAGGCAGCAGUGGGGAAGAUUGGACAAUGGGCGAAGGGCUGAUGCAGCCAGGCCGCGUGAGUUAUGAAGGUCUUGGGGUUGAAAAGCUCUUUUACCUGGGAUGAUAAUGACGGUACCGGGAGAAUAAGCUCCGGCUAACUCCGUG
rnacentral:rRNA from 1 species